GCGUAUUAUACGCUUUUUAGUAAAAAGUUACCAAAGCAUUAAAUGGAUACUUAAGCAUUAAAAUUUAAAUGGACGUUUUACAACGAAAUAUUGUAAGGAGUAAAUAUCGUUUGCUGAGAUUUACAAUUUUCCAUAAAUUCGGAAAACCGAUUUCUUAAAUAUAGGAAAAGUAUUUUACAUUUGUAGAAUAAAAGAUUUGGUGAACUGAAUCAUCUAAGUAACCAAAAAAUUAAAUCAACCGAGAUAUCGUUAGUAGCGGCGAGUGAACACGAUAAAAGAUUUUAAGGUUAAAAUUUUAUUUAAUAUCUGAAUAGCCUAAGAAGGUAACCUAUAAUAAGGACAGCCCUGUAAAAUAAAAUUUAACUUUGUUUUUCAAGUAAAACGAUACAAGUCAUGUUUUGUUUGAAUAGUGGGGGCCCACCCUCAAAAUCUAAAAAUUUUAAUGAUUGAUAGUGAAAAGUAUUGUAAAAGAACAGUGAAAAAGACUUUGCGAGAGUGAAAAGAUUUUGAAAUUUAAUGCUAAUAAUCUGUCAAAGCUUUUUAAGGUGAUGACAUACCUUUUGCAUAAUGGAUCAACAAGUUUAUUUUUGUGGCGAGCUUAAACAUUAAAUGUGUAGGCGUAAAGAAAUUAAGUUUUAAAAUGCUUAUUAGUCACUGAAAUAAGACCCGAAAUUAAGUGAUCUAACCAUGGACAGGUUGAAAAUUAGGCGGCAACGCUUGUUGGAGGACCGAACCCGUGUAUGUGGCAAAAUACUGGGAUGAUCUGUGGUUAGGGGUGAAAGGCCAAUCAAACUUAAAGAUAGCUGGUUUUCUGCGAAAUCUAUUUGAGUAGAGCGUUUAAAAAACUUUUAUAAAGGUAGAGCUCUCAAUAAAUGAUGGAGACGUAAAGUUUUACUGAGUUUGUUGAAACUUCGAAUGUUAUUAAAAUGAUUUUAAACAGACAGACUAUGAGUGCUAAGAUUCAUAGUCAAGAGGGAAACAGCCCAGACUAUUAAUUAAGGCUCCUAAAAAUAAUUAAGUGAAAAAAUUGUGAGAAAAUGUUGACAACCGAAAGGUAGGCUUAGAAGCAGCCAUCCUUUAAAGAAAGCGUAACAGCUCAUUGGUUUAGUUUUCUUGCAUUGAAAAUGUUUGGAACUAAAAUUAUUUGCCAAAAUUAUAGAUUUUAUAUAAAAUGGUAGCAGAACGUUCUGUACGUUUAAGAAGUUCUAUAGUAAUAUAGGAUGGAGAUAUCAGAAAUGAAAAUGUUGGUAUGAGUAACGAUAAACAAUGUGUAAAGCAUUGUCGCCUAAAGUUCAAGGUUUCCAAAACAAGGCUAAUCCGUUUUGGUAGUUUAAUCGGUCUCUAAGAAAUAAACGAAAGUUUUCUUUUAAUGAGAUAAAAAUAAAUUUUUCGAUUUUUGAAGUGACAAAACAUAAAUGUUAUCUUUAUUCCAUGGUUGUAAUAAAGGUUGUAUCAUGUUUUCUAGAAAUAGCUUCUUAAGUUAAUAAAACCGUACCCCAAACCGACACAGGUGAACAAGUUUAGUAAACUAAGGCGCUUGAGAGAAUUAUGUUGAAGGAACUCGGCAAAAUGACUCCGUAACUUCGGGAGAAGGAGUGACUCUAUAAAGGCAACUUUGUAGGGUUGUCACAGAAUCGGGGACAGCGACUGGUUAACAAAACCACAGGUCUCUGCGAAUUCGUAAGAAGAUGUAUUGAGGCUGACGCCUGCCCAGUGCUGUAAGAUUAAAGGAAGAGGUUUUUUGGCCUUGACCCUAACUCUCAGUAAACGGCGGCUGUAACUCUGACGGUCCUAAGGUAGCGAAAUUCCUUGGCAUUUAAUUGGUGUCCUGCAUGAAUGGCGUAACGACUGUCCCACUGUCUCCAACAUAAGCUCAGUGAAAUUGAAAUGUUCGUGAAGAUGCGAACUACUCGCGGCUAGACGGAAAGACCCCGGCACCUUUACUGCAGUUAUACAUUGUAAUGAACUUUUUUUUGUGUAGAAUAAGUGGAAAGUUGUUAGUUUUCAGCUACUUGCGCUAGCAAGCAAGAGAAACAUCGUUGAAAUACCACUCUUAAAACUUUUCAUUACUUAUUGAUUAAAACAUUGUAUAAUGGGUAGUUUGACUGGGGCGGUCGCCUCCUAAAGAGUAACGGAGGCGUGCAAAGGUAAACUUAAGUUGAACUAGCACAACUUUUAAGCAUAAUAGUAUAUGUUUGCCUGAUUGUAAGAUUGACAAAUCGAGCAAGGACGAAAGUCGGUUAUAGUGAUCCGGUAAUUCUGUGUGGAAAAGGUUACCGCUCAACGGAUAAAAGGUACGCCGGGGAUAACAGGCUAAUCACCCUCUAGAGACCCUAUCGACGGGGUGGUUUGGCACCUCGAUGUUGGAUCAUCGCAUCCUGGAGCUGUAGACGGUUCCAAGGGUUUGACUGUUCGUCAAUGAAGGCGGUACGUGAUCUGAGUUCAGAACGUUGUGAAACAGUUUGGUCCCUAUCUACCGUGAGAGAAAAAAACUGAGAGGAGUAGAGUAUAGUACGAGAGGACCCAUGAAAGUAAAUCCCUGGUGAAUCGAUUGUUAGACCAAUAGCAUAGUCGAUUAGCUACAUUUAUAAUAAAGAAUCACUGAAAGCAUCUAAGUGAAAAAUUAGCCUCGAUACAAGUUUUUUAAAGAAUGUAGAAGAUCACUACAUCGAUAGGCCUGAUGUGUAAGAAUUGCAAAAUUUUCAGCUAACAGGUACUAAAAAUAAAUUCUAAAGACUUUUUACUA
rnacentral:rRNA from 1 species